rnacentral:rRNA from 1 species
UGCGCAGGCGGACUUGUGCGUCAGAGGUUAAAUGUCACCGCUCAACGGUGAACCUGCCUUUGAUACGGCGAGUCUUGAGUACGAGAGAGGUAGGCAGAAUUCCUGGUGUAGCGGUGAAAUGCGUAGAUAUCAGGAGGAAUACCAGUGGCGAAGGCGGCCUACUGGCUCGUAACUGACGCUCAUGCACGAAAGCGUGGGUAGCGAACA